AGUGAACGCUGGCGGUAGGCCUAACACAUGCAAGUCGAACGGCAGCACAGUAAGAGCUUGCUCUUACGGGUGGCGAGUGGCGGACGGGUGAGGAAUACAUCGGAAUCUACUUUUUCGUGGGGGAGAACGUAGGGAAACUUACGCUAAUACCGCAUACGACCUACGGGUGAAAGCAGGGGAUCUUCGGACCUUGCGCGAGUGAAUGAGCCUAUGUCGGAUUAGCUAGUUGGCGGGGUAAAGGCCCACCAAGGCGACGAUCCGUAGCUGGUCUGAGAGGAUGAUCAGCCACACUGGAACUGAGACACGGUCCAGACUCCUACGGGAGGCAGCAGUGGGGAAUAUUGGACAAUGGGCGCAAGCCUGAUCCAGCCAUACCGCGUGUGUGAAGAAGGCCUUCGGGUUGUAAAGCCCUUUUGUUGGGGAAGAAAAGCAGCAGGUUAAUACCCCGCUGUUCUGACGGUACCCAAAGAAUAAGCACCGGCUAACUUCGUG
rnacentral:rRNA from 1 species